AUUGAACGCUGGCGGCAUGCUUUACACAUGCAAGUCGAACGGUAACAGGCCGCAAGGUGCUGACGAGUGGCGAACGGGUGAGUAAUGCAUCGGAACGUGCCCAGUCGUGGGGGAUAACGCAGCGAAAGCUGUGCUAAUACCGCAUACGAUCUAUGGAUGAAAGCGGGGGACCGUAAGGCCUCGCGCGAUUGGAGCGGCCGAUGUCAGAUUAGGUAGUUGGUGGGGUAAAGGCUCACCAAGCCAACGAUCUGUAGCUGGUCUGAGAGGACGCCCAGCCAGACUGGGAAUGAGACACGGCCCAGACUCCUACUGGAGGCAGCGGUGGGGAAUUUUGGACAAUGGGCGCAAGCCUGAUCCAGCAAUGCCGCGUGCAGGAAGAAGGCCUUCGGGUUGUAAACUGCUUUUGUACGGAGCGAAAAGGCUCCCUCUAAUACAGGGGGCUCAUGACGGUACCGUAAGAAUAAGCACCGGCUAACUACGUGCCAGCAGCCGCGGUAAAAC
rnacentral:rRNA from 1 species